rnacentral:misc_RNA from 1 species
UUCUGGACUUGCUCUGCAUGUCGGGCUCCCUGCACUUUUGGUGCGGCCAACCGACAUGGGGCUGUCUCUUCACUCUCCCUUGCUGUCACUGAAUUUGUCGGCUUGGGAUGCUUGUGAUCGGUUGCCUGUGCGGUUCUACCCUCUUGUGGGUAGCGAAGUCGUCCCUCGAUGGAUAUCUGCUUGCCCUGCUGACAUUUUUUUGUCGUUCGGGCAGCCGAAAUGUUGGCGAGAUCCCUGUGCUGGCGCGCGGCUGAAUGCCCCGCUGCCGUCGCUCGGGUUUCUGCCGGCUCUCACGGAUGCGGUGCCUAGUGCUAGCUCUGCGGGACUUUGCCCCGCAGACUUCGGAAGGUCCCCUGCACGAAUCACGAAUCACUGCUCUUAUACGCCGUCUAGUGUGUGUCUGCGACACACGCAGAUCGUGUUCUGUCGCGGAGUCAUUGACGAUGCGGCGGAACAAAGUGUCCGGAGCGUGCUCGCGUGCAUGCGGAAUGCCUCUCCGUUCGUAUGAGCAGCGAUUUCCGGCACGCGCCGUGCGAAGGCCCCGCCCCUCCGGGGCGGUGCCGGAGCCGACGCGCCGGCUCUC